rnacentral:rRNA from 1 species
UACGAAGGGGGUUAGCGUUGCUCGGAAUGACUGGGCGUAAAGGGCGCGUAGGCGGAUGGCACAGUCAGAUGUGAAAUUCCCGGGCUUAACCUGGGGGCUGCAUUUGAUACGUGUUGUCUUGAGUUCGGAAGAGGGUCGUGGAAUUCCCAGUGUAGAGGUGAAAUUCGUAGAUAUUGGGAAGAACACCGGUGGCGAAGGCGGCGACCUGGUCCGACACUGACGCUGAGGCGCGAAAGCGUGGGGAGCAAACAGG